UACGAGGGGUCCUAGCGUUGUUCGGAAUCAUUGGGCGUAAAGGGUGUGUAGGUGGCCAUUCAAGUCAGUUGUGAAAUCCCCGGGCUCAACCCGGGAAGUGCUUCUGAUACUGUUUGGCUUGAGUACUGGAGAGGAUAGUAGAAUUCCUGGUGUAGUGGUGAAAUACGUAGAUAUCAGGAGGAAUACCGGUGGCGAAGGCGGCUAUCUGGCCAUGUACUGACGCUGAAACACGAAAGCGUGGGGAGCAAACAGG
rnacentral:rRNA from 1 species